rnacentral:rRNA from 1 species
AGCUAAUACCGGAUAAUAUUUUGAACCGCAUGGUUCAAAAGUGAAAGACGGUCUUGCUGUCACUUAUAGAUGGAUCCGCGCUGCAUUAGCUAGUUGGUAAGGUAACGGCUUACCAAGGCAACGAUGCAUAGCCGACCUGAGAGGGUGAUCGGCCACACUGGAACUGAGACACGGUCCAGACUCCUACGGGAGGCAGCAGUAGGGAAUCUUCCGCAAUGGGCGAAAGCCUGACGGAGCAACGCCGCGUGAGUGAUGAAGGUCUUCGGAUCGUAAAACUCUGUUAUUAGGGAAGAACAUAUGUGUAAGUAACUGUGCACAUCUUGACGGUACCUAAUCAGAAAGCCACGGCUAACUACGUGCCAGCAGCCGCGGUAAUACGUAGGUGGCAAGCGUUAUCCGGAAUUAUUGGGCGUAAAGCGCGCGUAGGCGGUUUUUUAAGUCUGAUGUGAAAGCCCACGGCUCAACCGUGGAGGGUCAUUGGAAACUGGAAAACUUGAGUGCAGAAGAGGAAAGUGGAAUUCCAUGUGUAGCGGUGAAAUGCGCAGAGAUAUGGAGGAACACCAGUGGCGAAGGCGACUUUCUGGUCUGUAACUGACGCUGAUGUGCGAAAGCGUGGGGAUCAAACAGGAUUAGAUACCCUGGUAGUCCACGCCGUAAACGAUGAGUGCUAAGUGUUAGGGGGUUUCCGCCCCUUAGUGCUGCAGCUAACGCAUUAAGCACUCCGCCUGGGGAGUACGACCGCAAGGUUGAAACUCAAAGGAAUUGACGGGGACCCGCACAAGCGGUGGAGCAUGUGGUUU